rnacentral:rRNA from 1 species
GAUGAACGCUGGCGGCGUGCCUAACACAUGCAAGUCGAGCGUGAACCCUGCGAAUGAAACUUCGGUCGAUUUUGCAGGGGGAAAGCGGCGGACGGGUGAGUAACGCGUAGGUAACCUGCCCCAUACUGAGGGAUAGCCUCGGGAAACCGGGAUUAAUACCUCAUAACACCGUAUAUUCGCAUGGAUGUGCGGUCAAAGAUUUAUCGGUAUGGGAUGGGCCUGCGUCUGAUUAGCUGGUUGGUGGGGUAACGGGCCUACCAAGGCGACGAUCAGUAGCCGACCUGAGAGGGUGAUCGGCCACAUUGGAACUGAGACACGGUCCAAACUCCUACGGGAGGCAGCAGUGGGGAAUAUUGCACAAUGGGCGAAAGCCUGAUGCAGCAACGCCGCGUGAGCGAAGAAGGCCUUGGGUCGUAAAGCUCUGUCGGGUAGGAAGAUAAUGACGGUACUACCCGAGGAAGCCCCGGCUAACUACGUG